UGAACCACAUCCCCACCCUCUCACUUGU
rnacentral:piRNA from 1 species